rnacentral:rRNA from 1 species
UGGUAGUNCACGCCGUAAACGAUGAGUGCUAGGUGUUAGGCCCUUUCCGGGGCUUAGUGCCGCAGCUNACGCAUUAAGCACUCCGCCUGGGGAGUACGACCGCAAGGUUGAAACUCAAAGGAAUUGACGGGGGCCCGCACAAGCGGUGGAGCAUGUGGUUUAAUUCGAAGCAACGCGCAGAACCUUACCAGGUCUUGACAUCCCGAUGCCCGCUCUAGAGAUAGAGUUUUACUUCGGUACAUCGGUGACAGGUGGUGCAUGGUUGUCGUCAGCUCGUGUCGUGAGAUGUUGGGUUAAGUCCCGCAACGAGCGCAACCCUUAUUGUUAGUUGCCAUCAUUCAGUUGGGCACUCUAGCGAGACUGCCGGUAAUAAACCGGAGGAAGGUGGGGAUGACGUCAAAUCAUCAUGCCCCUUAUGACCUGGGCUACACACGUGCUACAAUGGCUGGUACAACGAGUCACAAGUCGGUGACGGCAAGCUAAUCUCUUAAAGCCAGUCUCAGUUCGGAUUGUAGGCUGCAACUCGCCUACAUGAAGUCGGAAUCGCUAGUAAUCGCGGAUCAGCACGCCGCGGUGAAUACGUUCCCGGGCCUUGUACACACCGCCCGUCACACCACGAGAGUUUGUAACACCCGAAGUCGGUGAGGUANCCUUUUAGGAGCCA